AUUGAACGCUGGCGGCAUGCCUUACACAUGCAAGUCGAACGGCAGCACGGGAGCAAUCCUGGUGGCGAGUGGCGAACGGGUGAGUAAAGUAUCGGAACGUGCCCAGUCGUGGGGGAUAACGUAGUGAAAGUUACGCUAAUACCGCAUACGACCUAUGGAUGAAGGCGGGGGAUCGCAAGACCUCGCGCGAUUGGAGCGGCCGAUAUCAGAUUAGGUAGUUGGUGGGGUAAAGGCUCACCAAGCCGACGAUCUGUAGCUGGUCUGAGAGGACGACCAGCCACACUGGGACUGGGACACGGCCCAGAAUCCUACGGGGGGCAGCAGUGGGGAAUUUUGGACAAUGGGCGCAAGCCUGAUCCAGCCAUGCCGCGUGCAGGAUGAAGGCCUUCGGGUUGUAAACUGCUUUUGUACGGAACGAAAAGGUUUGACUUAAUACGUUGGACUCAUGACGGUACCGUAAGAAUAAGCACCGGCUAACUACGUGCCAGCAGCCGCCGUAA
rnacentral:rRNA from 1 species